GGUUCGAUUCCGGAGAGGGAGCCUGAGAAACGGCUACCACAUCCAAGGAGGGCAGCAGGCGCGCAAAUUACCCACUCCCGGCACGGGGAGGUAGUGACGAUAAAUAACGAUACGGGACUCAUCCGAGGCCCCGUAAUUGGAAUGAGCAUACUCUAAAGCCUUGUGCGAGUAUCAAUUGGAGGGUAAGUCUGGUGCCAGCAGCCGCGGUAAUUCCAGCUCCAAUAGCGUAUAUUAAAGUUGUUGCGGUUAAAAAGCUCGUAGUCCGCAUUGUGUCUCGCCCCGUCGGUACACCGCCUGCCGGUGCUUAACUGGCGCGCGCGCGAGACGUCGUGCCGGUCGGUGUCGGCCGUUCGGCCAACGCGGCGAGCUACCCGCCGGCUCUAACGAGCCGUGGUACGCGAGCCGCAGGUCGUCCGGCCGCCCUAAAAAUCCCGUCGCGGUGCUCUUAAACGAGUGUCGAGGCGGGCCGGCAAUAUUACUUUGAACAAAUUAGUGUGCUUAAAGCAGGCUCAGGUUCGCCUGGAUACAUGUGCAUGGAAUAAUGGAAUAGGACCUAGGUGCUAUUUCGUUCGGUUUUAGGACCGUAGGUAAUGAUCAACGGGAACGGGCGGGGGCAUUCGUAUUGCUACGUUAGAGGUGAAAUUCUUGGAUCGUAGCAAGACGGACGUAAGCGAAAGCAUUUGCCAAGUACGUUUCCGUCGAUCAAGAACGAAAGUUAGAGGUUCGAAGGCGAUCAGAUACCGCCCUAGUUCUAACCAUAAACGAUGCCUGCCAGCGAUCCGCCGAUGUUCCUAAGAUGACACGGCGGGCAGCUUCCGGGAAACCAGAGCUUUCGGGUUCCGGGGGAAGUAUGGUUGCAAAGCUGAAACUUAAAGGAAUUGACGGAAGGGCACCACCAGGAGUGGAGCCUGCGGCUUAAUUUGACUCAACACGGGAAAACUCACCAGGCCCGGACACCGCAAGGAUUGACAGAUUGAUAGCUCUUUCUUGAUUCGGUGGGUGGUGGUGCAUGGCCGUUCUUAGUUCGUGGAGUGAUUUGUCUGGUUAAUUCCGAUAACCGAGCGAGACUCUAGCCUACUAACUAGGCGGACCGGUAUCCACAAUCGUGCUACCGGCGAGCCAAUAUCUUCUUAGAGGGACAGGCGGCUCCUAGCCGCACGAGACUGAGCAAUAACAGGUCUGUGAUGCCCUUAGAUGUCCUGGGCAGCACGCGCGCUACACUGAAGGAAUCAGCGUGUCUUCCCUGUCCGAGAGGACCGGGUAACCCGCUGAACCUCCUUCGUGCUUGGGAUUGGGGCUUGCAAUUGUUCCCCAUGAACGAGGAAUUCCCAGUAAGCGCUAGUCAUAAGCUGGCGUUGAUUACGUCCCUGCCCUU
rnacentral:rRNA from 1 species